UACGUAGGGGGCAAGCGUUGUCCGGAUUUAUUGGGCGUAAAGAGCGUGUAGGCGGCCUGAAAGGUCAGCUGUGAAAACUCGAGGCUCAACCUCGAGACGUCGGUCGAAACCAUCUGGCUAGAGUCCGGAAGAGGAGUGUGGAAUUCCCGGUGUAGCGGUGAAAUGCGCAGAUAUCGGGAAGAACACCCGUGGCGAAGGCGGCACUCUGGGACGGUACUGACGCUGAGACGCGAAAGCGUGGGGAGCGAACAGG
rnacentral:rRNA from 1 species